rnacentral:lncRNA from 1 species
CUUUUUUUUUUUUUUUUUUUUACAAGGAGCACAACUUCCUGAAAUUCCAGGCUGUGUCAAGUGCGACACUUCAGAUUUUUUCAGCAGCUUCAUCAUGUCACUACAGGGAUCUGCUCUGAGUUGAAGAUCAUGUUUGAGAUUGAGGCUUCAGAUGAGUAAAGCUGAGGAUUGUGACCCGGAGAGGGAGGGUAAGUAGGUGUCGGGUUAAGAGUUAUUAGGUGGGGGGGGAUUUGAAGGCAGCAGGGUGAGAAAUGGUGUCUAUUUGAGGGCACCCCAAGGUUUUUGACAAGCAUAGCAGAGGCAUUCAUGUGUCUUGUACCACCCCAGCUCACUUACUGCACUCAGAAAUGCCGUGUAACUUUGGCUCUCUCUAACCCAGGUGCUAGUCAUAACAGCUAUAGCCUCAGACUCAGGAUGAAGCUGGAGUCUUGAGGACCUAGGCAUACUUAGGAGAGGUCAAGUAGCUGACUUGCUGGGAUUUGGCCCGCAUAACACUACAGUCAUGCAUUGAUUUCGGUGUUCUUUAUUGUAGCUCACUGAGACAAUAACCAGCAAUCACGAGGCCUUCUGAGGCUGACUCAUUUCAGGUCCAACGUGGAUUCAUGUCGCCGGUCAUCCAAAAGAUAAGCUGGGGGCCACAGCCUGGAGAUGGGAUGAUCAUGUAGUAGAGGACUGUAAAUUCCUGGGACAGAUUUAAAAAUUAGCAGAGGGGAAAGGGAUAUCCUCUAAGGGGCUUUUAGGGCAGCUAAAGGAAGAGGCCCUACUUUUGAUUGCAGAUGUAGGGUGUGCAGUGCAGAGCAGUUCCAGUCUGUGUUGUGUUGUCCGGUAUACUGUGUUUCCUAGCGUGCCGUCGGGGUGCCUCAGAUCGGGUAUCUCUGCCUUUUCUCCUCGAGGGCCUUACCGCAAGCAUCAGCCACGAUCUCUAGGUUCUCGAACGCUCACGCUUCUCGGCAGUUCGUUCUUUUCCCCGCGGGCUCGGCCGUGUUUCCAUGUCGCAAUUCAGAAGCAUCGAGUCAGAUGACUUUUGAGGCCUUGCUUCCAGCAGUAUCACCAUCCAUCCUUUUCAGCCAUGAGUUGUAAUGUCCUGGCACUUAAAAGUUUGCAGGGAUACGGAGAGCAUUCUAAAUGUAGCAUUGUCUCAUGGUCAUUUCAAUCAUUGUGACCAACAGUUCUUCUAACAGGUCACUCUGUUACAGUCUUCUCUUUUUCUCCCUAGAGCCUCUGCCAUUCACUGUUGCCAUAGCAUCGGGCAUCUCUUUUGGCAUCAUCUCAGUCCUUGCCAUUAUUCUUCUUGCCAGGAAGAUUUUUAUUGUCCUUCUGUCACAAUCUUGUUAACAUAAUGUGUUGCGUGUCUUUACCAUCCCCUCUUUUGUCAUGUCCGGUCCUGUGUCACGGGUGUAAGCACAUAUUUGUCCUGGAGCUGUUGUGCCCUGUUGCAUAGCCUAGUGUGAUGGGGCAAGCCCCGGGGACUUGAAUUUUUGUAAUGCAGGGUGGAGUUGGACUCUAGAUGGUAUUCCUGGAUUGACAGAAGGUGUCUGGAUCUGUUAAGUUAUCCUGCAGCCAUUUGACUUUUGUCCUAACUUUCUUUCAGAUGCAGGCAGUUUAAAUCCAUGGCAGAAUGCCCCAUCCCUGGAGAAGGGGGUUCCCUGGUCAGGCAAUCCACUCGGAGUAUGCCAAGCCCCCAUCACCAACCAGCUGGUGGACCAGGUUUCCUGUGCUUGUGAGCAGUCUGGAAAUAUUUCAGGACUCUGUGAUGGAGCUUUGAAAUCUAUUAUUUCAAGGUGGCAUCUGGGCAUACCCUGUGAUGAUGGCCUCAGCCUCUGAGCAAGGCCGGAGCGUGUGGCCCAAGCACCUGGGCAUUCUUAGGAGGAUGCUAAGCAAGGGACCACAGCCCGGUGACCACAGGAAAUUCCCAGCGGGCGAGGUGACCUUCCUUCAUACCUGACGUGGAUUCUCAUCCCCAGAUGUCCAAGAGAUAAGUCGAGGGCUAUGAACCAUAGAGAGGAUGAAAGCGAAGUGCUGGGAGGGCUUUUUGAAUCAGCUUUGGUGGCAGGUAUGUGCAAGAAGUGUCCCCUUAGGCCACCUAAAGGGAAAGAGUCUCUUUUGAUCACAGUGCUGAGGUGCUCAGGGCAGAGCAGUUCUGGUGUGUGUUGUGUCACUUGUCUAUUGUGCAUUCUGUGUGUUUGGGUAUAUCAUGUCAUAUGGCUUUUACCUUGCCCCUUUGAGGGCCUGUCAGAAACCCUCCUGUCAUUCGUGGUAUCUGAUAUCUGCGUUCCUUGGACGGGCACCAGUGCAAUAGGACUCUUGAUUCUGGAGGUCAGACAGGCAUUUGAAUUGCAUCUCUCUUUAGAAGCAUCCAGUCAGAUGUCUUUUAAGGUCUUGUUCUGAGCUGUGUUCACAGCUGCACACCACAAUGGUCCGUUAUAUCAGGUCAGGACUUGUAAGAAUGUGAAGCUAGCAAGAGCCUUUUUUACAUGAGAUUCUUGGGCACUGAUCUUCGUGGUUCUCCGAAUAAAUCAUUCUGUUAGCAUCUUGUUCCUGCAGGGUUCUCUGAGCCUCAUGGGCUCUGAGCCGUCAGUCUCACCUAGGUCAUCUCGUUCUGCAAUCUCUCAGUCCUUGCAGGCAUUCUUCUGGCUGAGAGCUCUCUCUCUCUGUUGUGUCCCCUUGUUUGUCAUGUCCUGUCCUGUGUCUGCACAUAUCUGUCCUGGAGCUCCUCUGCCCUGCUGCAUAGCCUGCAAUAGAACAAGUCCUUGCAGGGUAAUGCAGGGUAUAGUUGGGCUCUAGAUUAUAUUAGUAGGUUGACAUAACAUGUUUGGUUCUGUUAAGUUGUCCUGCAGCUGUUUGACAUUAGUCCUAACUUUCUUUCAGAUUCAGAUGGUCUCAAUUCAUAGCAGACUGCUCCAUCCCCGUUCAGCAGGUUUCCUUGAGAACGUCAGUCGCUGUUUGUUUUUGCACGUGAAGCAAACACAAGUGUUACAGCACUGUUCUUUGUCCUUAUUUUUAUGAAGUUAUAUGGGAUAGCAGCAGUCAUGCUGAAGUGGGCGCGGUGAGCAUUGAGCAGCAGACAAAAGCGGUUGUUUUUGCUCAGUUUGCAAUUUCUGGUGAAACUCUAAGCAUCCACUAUUGGUUUUUUUUUGAAUUUUAGGCAGUCCUCUUGCAAUAUGUCUCUGGUCCCAGAUGUCUGAGGCCAGGUGCUGUCCACUGCCCUGGCUGUGAGAAGGAACUGAGGUGAGCGGGUGAGUCGGCAUUUAGGCAGAGUGACUCAUAGGUGACUGUUACGCAGCAGCAUGCUAAGCUUGUACUUUUUUAUUUUGCAGGUAUCUUCCGAGCAGCCUGUGGAGUCAAAUCAAGAUUUCAGAUGAGCUGGGGCAGUGGUGUGUCAGAGUUCCGGGGAUUCCUCUUUUGGAGGGUGCUAAUUGCAUUUUCUGCUUUGUCUUAGGUACCGUGAGGCAUCGCGUAGUUGAAGUUUGGAAACAGCAGCACCAAAGUGGAGGUAGAGAAUGUCUCGUCGUCCAUGUCCAACUGACAUUGGAUUCCAUCUGGUCAUCUUGCAAAAGCUAAGUGCUGGCGCCAAUAGGUGGGAGAAGGGGAAAAACUAUUACUAUCACAGGAGGCAAUUUGAUGUUAGCUUAGAGGAGAGGCCCGUAGUGGGACGGGUCCCUCGGAAGCAAAGGGAGAGGGUUUCUCCUCAGCCCCACUAGAAUCUUUGCCGGGCAGGGCAGUUCCAAUCCAUCUCCGCGUUCUCGUGAGGUUCACAUCGGCGGCCUGCUUAGACUCUUGACGUCGUCGUGGAUCUUUUCACCCGAGGAGCCCGCCUUCACGUCUGGAGCUGUAGCUACAGUCACCCGGUAGUCAUUGCUUUCUUUAGGCCUACUGUGCUUCUUAGGCUUCCUCUUAAGUGCUUUGGCACUAACAUCUUGAAAGGAGUUACAUUUCAUCAUCAUGUGCUAGUGCCCUAGGGCUUUCUUUCCUUUGGCAUCAUCAGCCCAUGGCUCAUCUUGGGCUAGGAAUGUUGGGUCCAUAAGGUGAAACUGCCAGGCAGUUUCCACUUGUGUCUGUGUUAUGGUGUCCGCGUCUGUGUUACGGUGUCUGUGUCCAUUGAUUUCUGUGUCAUAGGCCUUUGUUACAUCCCCAUGCUGAUUUCUGUGUCAUAGGCCUUUGUUACAUCCCCAUGCUUUAGCAUCAUCAUUCUGUGCCAUAUUGGCCGUCUUUUACUUGCGUACCUUCCCGGAUAUCACUUACUCCGGCAUCUUUACAUUUUUACUUUUUGGGACAGGAAGACAUACACGAGAUGUUCUCAUCCAUCUUCCUUCUCAACUUUGGUAGUGCCUUUUCAUCCCAGUGCCAUUCUCUUGGUCUUCUAUAGGGAGCAUAUUAGACCCUCAUCACGUGACUGCAGUAGUUCUGUAGCUUCCACCUUCUCCAAGGGUAUAGGGCUCAAGAAUUAAUCUUCUGGAGAGUUAUGUCAAGUUCUCACUUAUAUUGUAUCUCUGUUGGCUUAUACUGUAUGUGCUUAUAUUGUAUGUACCUAUACUCUGUGUACCUAUGUUGGCUUAUAUUGUGCGUACUCACAUUGUAUGUACCUACCUUGGCUUAUGUUGUAUGCGCCUCUGUUGUGCCAAUCAUGAUAGGAGCUGCCCUGCCCGGGCACUCAGUUAUGCUUAGGUAGAGCAGUUAUAAGACUUUGCAGUUCAUCUGUCUUCUAUGGGGUUUUGGGUACAAAAUUUUUGGGCCUGGAGUGGGACUAGUUCCUAGCUGUCAGAUAGUCAGUCGUUGACCACCUCCCAUUGUCUCGCAGGUCCCCGGGUCCCUACACAUUUUCCUGGAGUCUACCAUUUGACAUUGAGGAGCUGUAGUCAGAUGAUGUGUUGAAGGAUAUUCUUCAGCGUAGUGUUACAAGUAAGGGUGGCAGUCAGUGUGUAAGCAGAAGAGUGUGUGAGAGAGUGUGAUUGUCUGUGUCUGUGAGAGCUUGUGUGUGCUUGUCUGCAGGUCUGAGCGUAUGUUGACCGGUUCUAAUGUUGUGUGUAUGACUUUUGUCUUUCAGGUUUUUUAACUAAUUUUUAAAUUUAGAAUAAAAAAUCCCCAGCUGUCAUUUUGGUUUUUUUUUUUCUCCCCCAGAUGGGGUUUUUUUCCCUUGGUCCUGGCCAGUCUGCGAGGCGACGUUCAUCGCCAAAGUUUGGAUACGGACUGGCCCAGGACAGGGGUUUUUGUCAGGCAGGAGGAUUUUUUGGAGGCUCCCGAGAGCCAUGUUCCCGAGGAACAAUGAUUCCUGGGGUGUAACGGAGCAGUUGAGAUGAGAGCAAUGGUGAGUUUGUGUGUAAUGUGAAGGAGGUGCUUAUGGUGGGUGAGUGUUGUUUUGUGUGUGUAAUCUUUGUUCUGGGUUUCCUCUAACAAUAAAACAAAAUGUAAUGAAAAUAGAAAAAAGAUCACAUUGUGUUAAUGUGUUUGGUUUCUAUUGCCCUGUGUUGUUCUGUAUUUGCAUUUGCUGCUGCAUUUCUAUGUACUGUAUAUAUGCAUGUAUAUGGAUUGUAUCUGUGCUUGCAUUUGUAUCCAUUGUUUCCAUGUGUUUCGUUGAAAUGUAAAUAAAAAAAUUAAUUCAAUAAAUUUGAAUAAACCCUAGUAAUGAUGCCCCUGCUCCCUCACUUUCUGGCUUUGGCUCCUGUCUUUCUUUGGUGUGGUUUAGUAAUUUUUUUUCAUUGUAUUUCUUCCAUUGCUUCUCAUCUUACUUUUCUAUCUCUGACUUCAUUUCUGUCUGUCCCUAACUCUGUGUUUCUAUUUCUCACUGUUUCUAACUCUGUCUCUCUUCUUCUCUAUAUCCUUAUAUUUCUUUUUCCUUCUUCCCUCCCUCCCUCUUCCUUCUCUCCCUCCCUCCUUCUUCCUUUCCAUUUCCAGCUACUUAUUUUUCUCCCUAUAGUUGAUACUUUACUCUUUAUUUCUUUUUCUCUCUAACUCUUUGUUUUCCUCUUUUUUACUCUCACUCUUUCUUUUUCUUUUUCACUGUAACCCUUCUCAUUUUUCAUUCUCUUUCUUUUUUCACUGUUUGCCACUGUUUUCCUAGUUCUUUUUUUCCCAUCUCUCUUUUCCUCUCCAACUUCAACUUUUUUUAACCCUUUGCUUCUCUCUAUUUCUACCUUUGUUUCUAACUCGGCUUUCCUUUCUAGCUUUUAAGAAAGCAGCAGUAAAAACUUUCAGGCUCCCUGGGAGGGAAAAAAAAACAAACCAACCAAACCUUUAAAAAAUUAUUUAAAGAAAAUUACUUACUCCGCAGGAGCCUGAAAUUUUCUACUGCUGCACCAGACAUACAGUUUUUCUUCUUUUUCCUAAUAGAUAUAGGGCCCCUAAUUAGCGAUAUAGCUGGCAGGUAGCAAUAGCAAUAUGCAGCAACCAUGGCACCAGUACUCCCAUCAACCCCACCAGGCAAAUAAUGAUACAACCAAGAGUUAACCACAUUGAAACAUAAAUUUUAAGGGAUAUAGAGAUGUUAGAGGAGCUAAGAUUUUAGUUAGAGACAAGCCUUACUAGAGCUAAUUAAAAUAAAUGAGUAGGCCUUGAUAAAGUUAGGAGUUAGUAGUUAACUGAUUGCUUGUCAGCACAAUGUUUAGUUAGCUGGGUUUAUAAUGAAGAAUAUAGAAACUGACAAAUAGCUUUUAGGAACGUAAGACAAUUGUGGGCCUCCUCUGUUCUGAAAUCAAAUGAAGACAAGGAAUGGGAGUUCUAACAAGAGUUCAUUUGUCAUAUUUGCAUUGAAAUGGUAGAAAGGCCAGAACGAGGAAGACUUCAUUU